CGAGGUUUCACAUAAACUGUAUCUCGUUGUUGAUGAUGUUGAUCAUUGUGUUGAUUAGAUUUUGUUAAUAGCUGCUGUUGUGAUAACUCUUUAUUGUGCUUACAAUCAAUUUGAACUGGAUGUAAAACUGGUCGAGAGUUUUACAGAGCUCAAUCCAACUGUGUUGAAGAUCAUCUUUACUAAAAAUGUCACACUGAUUAUUAAUUGAAUUUGAUGGUUGCUGAUGGCUUUCAAGCUGAUUAACAUUCAAUAAACUUGCUGCUAGUGUUGGCCAACUUUUACAAAUCCUACUGGAACUGGCUUUAAUCAAUGAAGUGAUAUCAUCAAGAUGAUCAUUACAAGUUCUGGUAAUAUUAGGAUUUUUACUGUCGUCACAAGAAACACAACUAUUCAAUCCUGGAUAGGAAAGACACCGUCCAUUGUUGAGCUACUUUCAUCAAAACCAUCACCCUUUUUCUUCUUCUCAUCUCCAUCUUCAUCGUCGUCUUCAUCAACACAAUCAUCUUUAUCUCCAUCAUGGUUGGCUUGUUUAUAAUUAGAAUGGUUAAAAUUGGCAUCACAGCAAGGUGAUGAAGAUUCGUUUGCUGUUGCUGCUUCUUCUGCUGUUAAUGUUGAGCAAGAUGAAAAGAAACAGCUUGAUCUAUGCCAUGGUAAACACUGAUUUUCCUGCGCACUUACAAAAUUAAUAUUAUGACAUCGGUUGUUGUUAAUGUUUUCCUGAUUUUGCUGUUUCUUAAUAUAAUAAUUAUCCCUGGUUUUGGUAUUACUGGUAGUUUCACAAAAAAGAAGGCACAGAGUUGAUCCACUUGGUAAAAUGGGACAAUCACUUGAAAUGAACGUUGAAUCUACACCAGUGGAAAUUAAAUCAUGUGAAGGCAGAGUUGGCGAAAUGCGGGGAAAAAACUGAUCACUGUCACUAUUUACAUCAUUAUUAUGGUUGACAUUAACAUAUGAAAAGGAUUGAAUUGAAGUAGCAAUGGUAGCAGUAGUGGUGUUAGCUGAUUGUUGCUUUUCACAAAACGUUUUAUUCUUAAUAUCCCGAGUGGUUGUGAUACAGUUGAAAUUAUUUUUCCAUCCACUGUUCAGAUUACAAGAGCUAGUUGAUUCAAGCUCACAGCAUCCACCUCCAGUUAAGGUUUGGCAAUCUUUUUUACUACACCAACAAAAGGAUGGAAGUGAGUGGGUUACAAUACAAUCCUGAUUGUUGCUGAAUUGACGAUGAUGAGCAUGAUGAUUGAAGCUGUUUGAUUCACCAAAAGAUGGUGAAGCUGAAAGAGAUGAUGAUCUGAUAAACUUUGGUUUACUAAUGGAUUUCAAAGUUUCCGAUUUUGUGACAGGAACCGUUGCUGUUAUUAUUGAUGGUGAUCCUGAUGUAAGGGAGGCACAAGAAGAGACUGAUCUCGGUGAUAAUGUUGAUGGUGAUGAGGAUAAAACUGAGCUCACAAGGUAUCCAUUUUGAUGGUUAGCAUGAUUAGGAUAAAGUCCAGUUUCAAGUGAUGAACAAUUUGGCGAAAGUAGCCAUGUCUGUCCAUCAAGAGUCGAUGGUUUCAUCAGUUACACCUGACAAAAGUCAAAAUAAAUUUGUUGGUCAGUAUAACAGCACAAAAUAUAUUUGGUUUUUUAUCACAGAGUCAACAAAACAACAAACAAAACAGGAUUCAAAAAUCGUUGAGAUAAGAUGAGUAACCACGAACAGGAUAAAGUUAAAGUAAAUGAAUGAACAACACAAGUUUUUACAGAUGUACAUCUUGUACUGGACAGCUUUUUCAAUGAAUCUUGAAAAAUGUUUCGAGACGAUAACAACAGACUGAAACAAUAACAAUAAGUUUUGAUAGUAAUGUCAGGUCAGUUGAGAUAUGUGGUGAAGAUAUUGUUGAGCUUUCCAAUGAAUAGUUUAUACUGACAAGUUGAAGAGAGGUAAGCAAAGGUAAAAAAGUUCAUCACCAUCCAUUUUUACCUGAUCAGCCUAGACCGAAGAAGAUGACCAAAGCCCGCCUCAAAACCGGUAAUCAUUGGAAAACAAGUAAAGAGGAAGGAAGAAAGGAUGAGAAAGAAAGCAAAAAAGAGGAUAAAACGAUGAAAGACGAAGAAGAUGAUUUUAAAAAAAAUGAAAGAUGAUGUAGGCUGGAUGAGAAAUAGAGGCUUUAAGUAAACAUUUACUUGACCAUUCAAAGUUAAAUUGUUAGUCAAUAAUAACUUUCAUCAAAUUUUGGGUGAUCUUUUGCAUCUGAGAGUCUUUUGCAUCUUUUUUCAUCUUCAUCUUCGUCUCUUUUUUUGUUUCAUUUUUCACCAACAAUUGUGAGCCUCUUCAAUUGAAUCCUCUUUGAUGAACCGAUUAUUUAACAAAUUGUUGAAAACUUGUAUCAGUAUCAUGAAAUAUUUUCAGGUAAAGAUGAAGAAGAUACUUGGUCAAGAUGGUAAAGGUUGAGAAGGAGUUGAAUUGAAAAAUAGAGUCAAGAGGUAAAUAUGAUGGUGAUGCUGAAUUUAUUGAAGGAGGUGAAGAUGAGGAUGAAAAAAAAACAGAAAGGAUGAAUGGGAAUUGAAGUGAAGACAAAAGGCUUUUACUUGAUCAUCUUACUGUUUUUUUUCAUCCAAGACAAUUUAACAUUCAAAUAAGUUGAUUGACAAUCAAUGAUUGACUGUUUGUUGCUCAUGGUAGGUUCAACACCUUAACCUAUCAUCCUGAUCAUCAUUAUAUUAUUUUGUAAACCAUCAAAGGUUAAAUCAUACUCAUGAUUACAUUUAAUUUGAUUGAUCAGAACCAUUUAAUUUCAACGUGUUCCAUUAAAAAUCAUCAUCCCUUCAUUGAUGCUCCUGGUUGUUCAUCUUCUUGGAUCCAUUACUUUCGAUUCGUUAUGCUCUUUGAAUUGUAAUUAUUUUGGAACUUCCAUUUUGAAUCUGACAGUGAAUGAAGUAAAAUAGAAACGCAAGUCGACCUCACAUUUUCUCGCAUCUUCAUCCCUUUCUUUUCUUCUUUUUCCUCUAAAUCUUGUUUACCUUUUCCAUGCAUCCUUUCAAUAUCAUUAACAUGAUUAUCUUCCUCUUCCUCUUGUAGUUAUUUUACUCGUAAAUGGCCAUGAUGAUGAAAAUCUUAACAUUUUCCUAUCACCUUGCAACUGCCAUUAGACAAAGUCAUCUUGGAUGUUAUUAACAGUCUAUCAAGCAAUUAAGGAAUUAGGAGGUUAUCUUGAAGGUUAUGGAGUUUAUCAAUAGUUUCAUUGAGGAAUCAGAAUAGCCGCGAUUUAAUCGGAUUGGAUCACCAGUUAUUCCCUUCAUCCAUGUACUCCAUACUUAUCAGCGGUGUAAAUUAUACUAAUAUAUGAUCGUCUUCAUAACCAUCAUCAUUAUCAAUAAAUUUGAAAACUAUUCAUGAAGGAUCCUCAACAUUGAUCGGUAUUCAUCAAUGAAAUUGGAGUCAAAAUGAUGAACUGCUUGAAAACAAUGAUAUCAGCCAUGAUCAAAGUGGAAUAAUUUCUUAUUGUGAUUCAACAAAAGUCAUUUUUCAUCUAGAAUUUCAUGAUUAGGCAAAGAAAUCACAUCCAAAUCAGAUUGAAUUUAAACAAAAUUUAACGACAAGAAAACUGUCGAUUUGAAUGUUUUGAAAACAAAAGGUAUUAAGUCUAUCAAAGGGAAACGUUUCCUUGGAACAACAAUUAUCUAGUGAUUUAUUUUACCAGCAAGGGUUGUGGAGGAAUAAAGCUCAAAGAGGUUUGGCGAGUUUAGGCUCAAAGAAGGCAACUCCACAUCAAAUAAAAAGAAGGAAUGAAUGGUGAAACAUAGGGAAAGAGGAAGAAACAGCCCAAAAAAAUGAUCCAAGAAGGAGGUGAAGCAGGUAUGGCAAGGUGAAGGCAAAGAAAAGGAACAAUAUAGCAAGGCUUAGGUCAAAAAUUUAUAUAUUGACAAAUGGAAAUGCUAUUGCUGUGCUCAUUAAAUUGGAUCCUAAUAAAAAGAUGAAAUCACGGAAAUCAUUGUUAGACUGAUGAAUACGGUCAAAAUGUUGAUGAUAUUCAGACCAAACAACAUUGAUAGCUGGUCAUCAGAAGUUUUGUGUUAUCUUGAUGGCUUUUUCAUCAUUUGAACAUACAAUGAACAAAAGAAACGUUUUGCACUCUAUCUGUGUAAUUGACACUUUUUUAGGAUUGGAUUUGGUGAAUAAUAAUAAUGAUAAUUUACUGGAAGUGAGAAGUUUACCCAAAGUACAUAAAGUACAUAAACAACAAGAUGGAAGGCAGAAAAAGAAGGAAAAAUAUUGAGGAAAGCAAAUUUUUUUGGCAACAUCCCUACUGAUAAACUCUUUCUGAUUUAUUUUGUCUUAAGGUUCUUUUUUAGCUGAUUUGUUGGUCAACAUGAAUGCAGAAGUAGACCAAAGAGUGUCCAUUAUCAAUAUCUUUUUUUCAAUUUAAGCCCAGCAAGAGAUCAAUAGUGAAUAUCAAGGCUGACAAAAUCAACUGUAACGGACAAGAAAAGUACAUCGCUAUCUACAUAAAUCAACUGAAUGGUAAUGCACAGCUACAUCAACGACAACAAAACCAUCAAACUAAUCAAAGUGUUCAACAUUUGAUGUGAUUAUCUUACCUUAAUCUUGACUAAUUUUUCUACUUUCUUCCUCUCACUCUAUUAGUCUGCCCAAUAAUUAAAACAUUAAAAUUAUUUUGUUAUUAUAGCUAAUGGUAUAUUGGAACAUGCAAACAUUCACCAAAAAAAAAGAGUCAACGAUCGAGCCAAUUUCAUUUGGAAUUGAAAAUGCAAAAAAGCAAGAAUAAAAAAUCACAUCCAUUUGACCCAAAA